rnacentral:rRNA from 1 species
GACGAACGCUGGCGGCGUGCUUAACACAUGCAAGUCGAGCGGUAAGGCCCUUUCGGGGGUACACGAGCGGCGAACGGGUGAGUAACACGUGGGUGACCUGCCCUUAGCUCUGGGAUAAGCCUGGGAAACUGGGUCUAAUACCGGAUAUGACUCCAUGACGCAUGUUGUGGGGUGGAAAGCCUUGUGCGGCUAGGGAUGGGCCUGCGGCCUAUCAGCUUGUUGGUGGGGUGANGGCCUACCAAGGCGACGACGGGUAGCCGGCCUGAGAGGGCGACCGGCCACACUGGGACUGAGACACGGCCCAGACUCCUACGGGAGGCAGCAGUGGGGAAUCCUGCGCAAUGGGCGAAAGCCUGACGCAGCGACGCCGCG